AUUGAACGCUGGCGGCAUGCCUUACACAUGCAAGUCGAACGGCAGCACGGGGGCAACCCUGGUGGCGAGUGGCGAACGGGUGAGUAAUACAUCGGAAUGUACCCAGUAGUGGGGGAUAACUAGUCGAAAGAUUAGCUAAUACCGCAUACGCACUAUGGUGGAAAGCGGGGGAUCGCAAGACCUCGCGCUAUUGGAGCAGCCGAUGUCCGAUUAGGUAGUUGGUGGGGUAAAGGCCUACCAAGCCUGCGAUCGGUAACUGGUCUGAGAGGACGACCAGUCACACUGGGACUGAGACACGGCCCAGACUCCUACGGGAGGCAGCAGUGGGGAAUUUUGGACAAUGGGGGAAACCCUGAUCCAGCAAUGCCGCGUGUGUGACGAAGGCCUUCGGGUUGUAAAGCCCUGUCAGGAGGGAAGAUAAAAGACGGUACCUCCGAAGGAAGCACCGGCGUAACUCCGUGCCAGCAG
rnacentral:rRNA from 1 species